UGGCUUCCUGUUCCUUCUGCUUCU
rnacentral:misc_RNA from 1 species